GACAGAGGGGGCAAGCGUUGCUCGGAAUUACUGGGCGUAAAGGGCGCGUAGGCGGCCCGUCAAGUCCCGUGUGAAAGCCCCCGGCUCAACCGGGGAACUGCACGGGAAACUAGCAGGCUUGAGUUCGGGAGAGGGAAGCGGAAUUUCGGGUGUAGCGGUGAAAUGCGCAGAUAUCCGAAGGAACACCGGUGGCGAAGGCGGCUUCCUGGACCGACACUGACGCUGAGGCGCGAAAGCUAGGGGAGCAAACGGG
rnacentral:rRNA from 2 species